rnacentral:rRNA from 1 species
GAUGAACGCUGGCGGCGUGCCUAAUACAUGCAAGUCGAGCGAACAGACGAGGAUCUUGCUCCUCUGACGUUAGCGGCGGACGGGUGAUUAACACGUGGAUAACCUACCUAUAAGACUGGGAUAACUUCGGGAAACCGGAUCUAAUACCGGAUAACAUGUUGAACCGCAUGGUUCAACGGUGAAAGACGUUCUUGCUGUCACUUAUAGAUGGAUCCGCGCCGCAUUAGCUAGUUGGUAAGGUAACGGCUUACCAAGGCAACGAUGCGUAGCCGACCUGAGAGGGUGAUCGGCCACACUGGAACUGAGACACGGCCCAGACUCCUACGGGAGGCAGCAGUAGGGAAUCUUCCGCAAUGGGCGAAAGCCUGACGGAGCAACGCCGCGUGAGUGAAGAAGGUCUUCGGAUCGUAAAACUCUGUUAUUAGGGAAGAACAAAUGUGUAAGUAACUAUGCACGUCUUGACGGUACCUAAUCAGAAAGCCACGGCUAACUACGUG